rnacentral:rRNA from 1 species
AAACCAGCACCUCAAGUGGUCAGGAGGAUUAUUUGGCCUAAAGCAUCCGUAGCCUGUUCUAUAAGUUUCCGGUUAGAUCCAUUAGCUCAACUAAUGGGCUGCCGGAAAUACUGUAGAACUAGGGAGUGGGAGAGGUAGACGGUAUUCGGUAGGAAGGGGUAAAAUCCUUUGAUCUAUUGAGGACCACCUGUGGCGAAGGCGGUCUACCAGAACACGUUCGACGGUGAGGGAUGAAAGCUGGGGGAGCAAACCGGAUUAGAAACCCGAGUAGUCC